UUUUUUUCCCCCAGAGGAGCAGUGACUAGAAGAAGCCCAGCCCACCUGCAACCUGCUGGUUUAGGCGGGGGUGAGGUACCUGGGCCUCAGCACAGCUGCCAGGAGAGCAAUUGCUACAAGUGACCACAGGCUGAGAUCCGGGCCAGUGUUUCAUAAGCAGAGGGGAGAAACCCAGCCAGACAGCAAAUGACAUGGCUUUGCUCUUCCCUGAACUUCUGGUACCUCCUGUCCUGCCUGCACUUUAGAGCUGUGCCCUUGAUGUCCGCAUGCCUGGCUCGCUUUCUCCCCUCACCUGGCUGAUUCCCAUGGUUCCUGCAUCUCUGCUCACCUGUCCUCUGUGGGAAGCAGUUCUGGAUCCCUGAAGCGGACGCAAUACUCGGCAGAAUGACCUUCAGAUGGACAAGG